AAUCCCCUUCCUCUCUCGAUUUGGUCUGCAGGAGAGAGAGAAGAUAAGACGGAGAGAGAAGGAGGAGAGGAGGGAGAGGAAAAGAGGUGCGGUGGCAGGGAAAUCGUCGUCGGAUGCGUCUUAUAUGUGAUGGGUGUGUUCCCAUCAAGUCGAUGGUGGGGUUGAUGUGCCCGUCGAUUCGUGAUCCGCUGGCUGGGCUCAUCUUCUCAAUGGCGGACUGGUGUUCUAUGUUAGUCGGAGCCAUUGUAUGUGGUUGUGCAGUUGCUGAUGUACAGGAGGCGUCCGUGGUAUCAGUUCUUCAUCGUCCAUGCUUAUCUUCUAUAUGCUCUAGCAGCCAGUUCAAGUCAGGCAACUUCUCCUGGGCGAUCGUGCGUACUUGGUCGCUGUGGCUCCUUUGAGCCUUUUUCGAUGCCUGGGAAUCAGAAUUAAUAAAAUGGAGAUAAGGAACCAUGUAGUUCACUGAGCAGCUAUAAAGCCUAAGAUAAACUACAGUAAACAGAAAGUUGAGGAAUCAACCAAAUGUGUAGAAAUUUUGGUGACUAACUUAUGACUUGUUUAUUUCAGAGAAACUAAUGACUUAUCAAUCCAACAGACAGUAUGAAGUUGUGCCAAGUAAAGCCAAAAAAGAAACUGUAUGUAUAUAACGGAGUAGCGGAUGCGGUUCAAGCUGUUUUUUUGCCUGCUUAUUUUUUAUGUAGCUUUUUUGGCCUGCUUGUCAGUGAUGCAAUGCCUUAUGGAGUAACGAAAGCCUAGAAUGAGAGUUAGGGAAAAUGAAAUGGACACCAAAUUUGGUGAGGCUUAUAUACUAUGAACUUGGAGCCAAGUAGAAACCCCAGUGUUAGCUGAACAGAAAAUUUAAUGUGUUAAGUUAUGCAUAUUUCAUUGUACCCAAAUAAUUCAAAUAAGUGUUAACUCAAAGGAUUGUUUUUGUAGAGGUCCAUAUGCAAUUCAUCAGAUACAGAUAAAGGGUUAGUAUCUCCCAUGUGUGCAAAAUUGGUGUGCAGAUAGCAAUUCACAGACCACUUUCCCUGUCAGUACG